rnacentral:lncRNA from 1 species
ACGACAUAGUACAGACACGCCAGCCUGCGCCAACCUAUGGUAUGGAGUCAUCCCCCAACACACCUCGUCAUUUCCACGUCCAGCCAGAUGCUCCUGUCCUUGCAUCGCGGGGCUACUCCCAUCUAGACCUGUAAGCGCUGCGACAGUACUGAAUGCCUACCCAUCUACCCGUAAAAUGCAUGGUCCAGGGUCCAUGGUUCGUUCGCCGGGUGAAUCUCCGGACGGACUUUAUGUUCGCAUUUCGCAUGACCACACUGCACUAAGCGCGUCUGGCCCAGCCGCCGAGCUCGCUCCUGAGGACUGUCAACGCCACCCGUCCAGACAUCUUCAAAAAAAAUCUGAAGGGGGGUUAACAGAGCCCCACGACGCACAUCACCGAUAAACAAAACACACACUCGCGCAUGGCACGCACGAGCCUUGCCACGCUCUCACCAAGUAUCCCAUCCCAUUUCCACUGACUCCGACUCGAGUUGCACCAACCACCAACAGGACACUGCAGGACAGACGCGCACUGGUCAGGUCAAUUUGUCUUGUUGUUGGUGUCACCAAACCGUCAGUCACAAUCAUAUGCUCACUGCGGGAUGAGACGCAAGGCUAUGCACGCACGUGGGCGCACUUAGUACUGGACGACCCCACAGCCAAGCACGCGCACAGGCACACACGCGUUAGACAAACUCCUAGCUGCGCAGCGUGUACGCGUGCGGUCAUAGAAAAUAUUAAUUCAGCGACACAUCAAUGGAAGAGGUCUUUG